AAACAGGCCUGUGAAGGGAUCGAAAAGGGUGCUGCUGGCUCUGAAGCUCUGGCUGAGAGAGACCUGAGGCCCUGAACCCCUCCUCCACCCUUCCAGGUUACAGAGUGGGAAGUCUGGGCACUUCCUGGACCAUCCUCUCCGACCCAGAGGAGAGCUCGGCCAAUGCAAACCUUCAUCCACAGCAAGACCAUCUAAUGAUCGGCCACCCAGGCUACAGAAGAAGAUGGAAAAUCCCUACCACACUCCUGCAUCUGGGCUUCUCCUGGGGUGGUACCCAGCACUGUGCUGCUUUCUGGCCCCGAAUGCAUGAGGACGUGGAGGGACCCCAGAAAGAAAUGUGGAAAUGAGGACAGACAGACUUACCUUCUGGACCUGAAGAUGGUAGGACGAUAGGCUGAGGAUCUGAAGCUCAGGCCCAAGCAGCUGGGGUGAGGAACCCUUGGGAAGGCAGGCUGUGGGUGCAGUUCAGGAGGUCCAGCUGACCCAGGAUCACUCGGGCCUUGAGGACACCAAAGACCCCAGAACAGAAAGUAAGUUAGAGACGAUCCUGAGUCCAAGGCCCCUCUCAGACCACAGAUCUAUUUUGUCCAUGGGAGCGUGGGAAGCAGCUUGUUCCCUGAUGCCACCUCAUGUCCCCUUUCAGGAAGAAAUGGUUCUUGUCAGAGGAGGGCCUUCCCUAGGGGCUGGAGACCCUGCAGAGAAGGGCCCCAGAACAGCAUCGUUCUGUUUUGUUUGUUUGUGUCGAGACAGGGUUUCUCUGUGUCACCCUGGCUGUCCUGG
rnacentral:lncRNA from 1 species